rnacentral:rRNA from 1 species
GUUUGAUCAUGGCUCAGAACGUACGCUGGCGGCACGCCUAACACAUGCAAGUCGAACGAAGUAGCAAUACUUAGUGGCAGACGGGUGAGUAACAUGUAGGUAUCUGCCCUUUGGCCUGGAAUAACACGAGGAAACUUGUGCUAAUACCGGAUAAGUCUUUACGGAGAAAGCUUUAUGCACCAUUGGAUGAGCCUGCACUUGAUUAGUUUGUUGGUAGGGUAAUGGCCUACCAAGACUGUGAUCAAUAGCUGAUUUGAGAGGAUGAUCAGCCACAUUGGGACUGAGACACGGCCCAAACUCCUACGGGAGGCAGCAGUGGGGAAUCUUGCACAAUGGAGGAAACUCUGAUGCAGCGAUGCCGCGUGAGUGAAGAAGGCCUUUGGGUUGUAAAGCUCUUUCGUCGGGGAAGAAAAUGACUGUACCCGAAUAAGAAGGUCCGGCUAACUUCGUGCCAGCAGCCGCGGUAAUACGAAGGGACCUAGCGUAGUUCGGAAUUACUGGGCUUAAAGAGUUCGUAGGUGGUUGAAAAAGUUGGUGGUGAAAUCCCAGAGCUUAACUCUGGAACUGCCAUCAAAACUUUUCAGCUAGAGUAUGAUAGAGGAAAGCAGAAUUUCUAGUGUAGAGGUGAAAUUCGUAGAUAUUAGAAAGAAUACCAAUUGCGAAGGCAGCUUUCUGGAUCAUUACUGACACUGAGGAACGAAAGCAUGGGUAGCGAAGAGGAUUAGAUACCCUCGUAGUCCAUGCCGUAAACGAUGUGUGUUAGACGUUGGAAAUUUAUUUUCAGUGUCGCAGCGAAAGCGAUAAACACACCGCCUGGGGAGUACGACCGCAAGGUUAAAACUCAAAUGAAUUGACGGGGACCCGCACAAGUAGUGGAGCAUGUGGUUUAAUUCGAAGAUACGCGCAGAACCUUACCAACACUUGACAUGUUCGUCGCGACUCUAAGAGAUUAGAGUUUUCGGUUCGGCCGGACGAAACACAGGUGCUGCAUGGCUGUCGUCAGCUCGUGUCGUGAGAUGUUGGGUUAAGUCCCGCAACGAGCGCAACCCUCACUUUUAGUUGCCAUCAUUAAGUUGGGCACUCUGAAAGAACUGCCAGUGAUAAGCUGGAGGAAGGUGGGGAUGACGUCAAGUCCUCAUGGCCCUUACGUGUUGGGCUACACACGUGCUACAAUGGUAUCUACAACAGGAAGCAAGACUGCGAGGUCAAGCAAAUCCUUAAAAGAUACCUCAGUUCGGAUUGCACUCUGCAACUCGAGUGCAUGAAGCUGGAAUUACUAGUAAUCGUGGAUCAGCGUGCCACGGUGAAUGCGUUCCCGGGUCUUGUACACACCGCCCGUCACACCAUGGGAGUUGGUUCUACCUUAAGGCAAGGUUUCAAACCCUUGACCACGGUAUAGUCAGCGACUGGGGUGAAGUCAUAACAAGGUAACCGUA